AGCGUUUUGAUACUCGCGAAAGUACGGUUACAUUUAAUUUACAUACACAUUAAGAUUUUGAAAGUGAACACCGGGGAAUAUUCUUUUCGAUGCCCUCAAAGAGAUUGACCUUUACCCCACCCGCACCUGCAUUCACAGGUGUCCUUAGGAGCACCACCUGAGUACUGAUUCAAUGAUUAUUUCUGAAGAUUAAUAACCGUCUUGUUCACGAUGCCCAUACCGGAAAAAAAAUCAAGCACAACACAGGUGUUUGGUAUAUUUAUGUUGUCGAGAUUUUAACUUUAUGGGCAACGCUCCCAUUUUCCUAUCGCAGUCAGGUUUUGUGUUUUUUUUUCGAUGCUCACGGGAUUUUUGCAUUUUGCUAUUGUAUUAAGGUCAUUUGUACGUACCUUGUAACUAUUUUUAUUUAAAUUAAAUUACCUGAUACCUUGUAAUAUACAAAGUGCAGGUGUUUCUGGUUGAUGUAAAAGGUUAAACUCAUUGCCAAAACCGCGGCGUGAUUGCGGUACCUUUUCGCGAAGUUAACUUCGAGAAAAUAUACAUAUUUUGCUGCGAGACAUUUACGGCGUAUUGUUUUCGUUCGGAUAAUGGAUCUUACAUGCCUAGUUCAUGUCAAAAUUAAGUUGUAAACGUCGUAUGCCCAUUAACUUUCCAAUGUUCUUAGAUUAAAAUGAAAUUUAUGGUUCGAUUUUUGAUAACGCAACAAUUAUUAAGGUAAUUUAGAUUGUACUGCGCGUUUUUAUGGCGUGUUCGAAAAGUGGAACAAUCGUAUAUGUGUGAUUGCUCGGUUACCUACACAGUAAGGUGUUACUGAGGGAAUUUUAGAUGGAAGUUGCUUGUUCCAGAUAGCUUUAUCUCGUUAUGUAGGUAACCCUCUCUUGUCAUUUCGCUCAUUUGACGGCAAAUGUCAAAGACAACAUAAAGAAAACCAAGAUUAGUUUGACCAUUCACAGAUGAUUUUAAGAGAUUAAUUAUUAUUAAUCAUGGAUUAUAUCCCUACACCCCAGAAGCACAAUAAAUGAAAGCAAAACAAUGGUGAAGUCAACCAACGGUCCAAGUACUCAAAGGCCGUUCACUGGGAUGGAAAUGUGAUAGCUUCGGAUUUUGGGUGACAAAUGACUUUUGCUAAUCGAUAUUUACAUCUUUAGAUAAACUCAAAUGUCGUAUGCAAAAGUUAUGCACGUUUUACUUUCAGAAACCGCCCCUCGAAAGUCGUCUGGCACACCUUCAAGAUAUAAGCUACCUAUUGUAAAAAAUUUCAGGACUCUAGGAAAUUCACAAUUAAAUUCAUUUACUCCAAUUUAGUGAGAAAAUAUAGGCGCCAAGCUUACUAAUUCGAUGCAAGCUUCUUGUGGAAGUUGAAUUGAACUAAAGAAUAAAUGUUUAUGAACUAAGUUUCUUUACCAAAGGUACAUUAAUUCCUUCUAACUUUUGCUUAAUGUUUUUUUAUUUUCUCUAAAUGCGAGAACUGAUGUUUCUCUAGGAUUACGUUCUUAAACGCGGAAUUACACUCCCAUUAAUUCACUCGCGGUACAGUAACUUAAUGCGAAAGUUUUUUAUGUAUUUAUUUUGGAUAACGGAAAACUAUUUCCAUGAUUUCUAACCGGCGCGUCUUGGAUCUAUACUUAGUCCGUUAAUUCGUUGUUUGGGAGUCCGAUCGCGAAUCUUUUUUCCUUCCAAUAUGUUUAAAAAUCGCCGAAAUCUGUUGUCUUGGUCGUAGUUACGAUGCAAAUUUAUUCAAAUUUUCCAGAUCGUAAAACCCGUAAAACGAAUUACUUUUAAUUUUGUCACGCACUUUUCGACUCGGUGAUCUUAACGCUAAUCAUCUCAAAAUUCUCCAAAACCAAAACCCACUAUUCCUUAUCAAUUAACCACACCUACAAAAUGGUUUCUUGUUAACCAAGGUUGGGCAUAUUUAAUUGCUCAUUCGUCAAUCUAAUUCCGCCCUGCUAAUAAAAAAUGAUUUUACUAAUCCCAAGAUACCGUACGCUAUCACAGCGAGUUAACAUCGUAACGAGAUCUAAUUAAAAACAUGAAACAUGAUGUAAAGCCCACACUUUCUGUCUCUAUUGGCUUCCUAAAGUAAUUAAGAAACAAAGUCCCAUAGAAAAAUAAAUACGUAUUUAUCUGGAAAAUCCCACCCCUAAAUUUGGGCAAACUGGUAAAAUCUCGAUAAUGUGCUAUGUAUAAAUUACUCAAAUUUCAAAAACUCUAACUUUAUAUACCUUCACAACAAAAAUUAAAGGCAAAUUUAUAAGUACCGUUACUUUUGACACUUAAAGUGUCAAUCCAAAUUAAAUUAGCCACAAUAUCAGUGAAAACCUCACUUUGAUAUCUGUUUCCUAAGAGAUAUGGAUGAAACACGCACAUUCCCAAAUUUAAGUUGCACUAUUUAUAUUCUGGCUUUGAAACAAAAGAACACACAACAAGUGAUAAUUAAAAUUAACGCUCAAUAUAAGUUUUUAAUUUACGAACAAGAAAUUAUUGAAUCCUUAAAUCAGAAAUAAUAAAAGAAAGUAUUCCCUGUGGGUUCGGGGAUAGAAUUGGCCCACUCCCGCCCUGGAGAUCGUAAAAGGCGAUCAAUGAGCAGGGGAGACGACGAGUCCAAUCGCCCCCCCCCCCCUUGAACAGUAUCCUUUCCUCACCUUCCUUUUCCCACACAAUCCCGUGUAUCCUUCCUAAUUCAUUCCGCUGGCAGACGAUUUAAAUUGAUUAUGGAUUACGACGAAAUAAACUUCUUAGGGGUUCGGAUUGUCUCCAGGGGCGGCAGGGAGCGAGGUGGGCCUCACCAGGUCGAGAUCCAGCGACUGUUCUGUGCUUGUGAUGGGAGAGCAGACCACAUCACCUGUUCGACCUACUGGAAUAGACCCACGCAAUGACUAUGGCAAUUCCAAAGGCUAUGCACAACCACGACUGGUGCGGAUCGGGAUUUUACGACUGUCAGUCCCUUCUUAAUAGGUAAAACUUUACAUGGGUUAGUGGGCCAUCUUAAAGAUGUAAAAAAAUGAUAGAUAACCGCGUUUGAUCCCUUAAUGGAGCACACCUACGUUCACAAUCCCCUGAGAUGCUUUCAGUGUCAAGGGUUCGGGCACUCUACUGUUAAUUGUAAAUAGGAGAAAAGAUGCGUGUGUGGAAAACCACCUGUAACACCGACCCAGGUACCGGUACAAUAUUUUGUAUCUGAAAUACGAAAAAUUAUUAAGCAUGAAAUGGAACAACAGCGAUCCAUAUUUCAAAUUCCUGUACCUUUGAUGGAUAUUGAAACACAUGGCAACAGGAAGACAUUUCGAACAUCUUUAAAGCUUUAUUGUUCAUAAAUGAUAAAAA